UACGUAGGGUGCAAGCGUUAAUCGGAAUUACUGGGCGUAAAGCGUGCGCAGGCGGCUUUGCAAGACAGAUGUGAAAUCCCCGGGCUUAACCUGGGAACUGCAUUUGUGACUGCAUGGCUGGAGUGCGGCAGAGGGGGAUGGAAUUCCGCGUGUAGCAGUGAAAUGCGUAGAUAUGCGGAGGAACACCGAUGGCGAAGGCAGUCUCCUGGCAAGUUUCUGACGCUCAGGUGCGAAAGCUAGGGGAGCGAACAGG
rnacentral:rRNA from 1 species